GGUCGUGUAGUGUAGUGGUUAGCACCGACGGUUUUGACCCACAUCACAGAUGGUUCGACCUCCGUCUAACCUGAGUUCGAAUCUCAGCUCGACCU
rnacentral:tRNA from 1 species